GAUGAACGCUAGCUACAGGCUUAACACAUGCAAGUCGAGGGACCGGCGCACGGGUGAGUAACACGUAUCCAACAUGCCCUUUACUCGGGGAUAGCCUUUCGCAAGAAAGAUUAAUACCCGAUAUAAAGGAUGGGGAUGCGUUACAUUAGGUUGUUGGUGAGGUAAAGGCCCACCAAGCCUUCGAUGGUUAGGGGUUCUGAGAGGAAGAUCCCUCACACUGGAACUGAGACACGGUCCAAACUCCUACGGGAGGCAGCAGUGAGGAAUAUUGGUCAAUGGGCGUUAGCCUGAACCAGCCAAGUAGCGUGAAGGAUGAAGGCUUAUGGGUCGUAAACUUCUUUUAUAUAAGAAUAUGUAUUAUAUGAAUAAGGAUCGGCUAACUCCGUGCCAGCAGCCGCGGUAAUUC
rnacentral:rRNA from 1 species